AACGAACGCUGGCGGCAUGCCUAACACAUGCAAGUCGAACGAGACCUUCGGGUCUAGUGGCGCACGGGUGCGUAACGCGUGGGAACCUGCCCUUAGGUUCGGAAUAACUCCCCGAAAGGGGUGCUAAUACCGGAUAAUGUCUUCGGACCAAAGAUUUAUCGCCUUUGGAUGGGCCCGCGUUGGAUUAGCUUGUUGGUAGGGUAAAAGCCUACCAAGGCGACGAUCCAUAGCUGGUCUGAGAGGAUGAUCAGCCACACUGGGACUGAGACACGGCCCAGACUCCUACGGGAGGCAGCAGUGGGGAAUAUUGGACAAUGGGCGAAAGGCUGAUCAAGCAAUGCCGCGUGAGUGAUGAAGGACUUAGGGUUGUAAAGCUCUUUUAACCGGGAGGAUAAUGACAGUACCGGGAGAAUAAGCGCCGGCUAACUCCGUG
rnacentral:rRNA from 1 species